rnacentral:rRNA from 1 species
GAUGAACGCUGGCGGCGUGCCUAAUACAUGCAAGUCGAGCGAACAGACGAGGAGCUUGCUCCUCUGACGUUAGCGGCGGACGGGUGAGUAACACGUGGAUAACCUACCUAUAAGACUGGGAUAACCUCGGGAAACCGGAGCUAAUACCGGAGAAUAUACUGAACCACAGGGUUCAAUAGUAAAAUACGGUGUUGCUGUCUCUUAUCGAUGGAUCCGCGCCGGAUUAGGGAGUUGGUAAGGUAACGGGUUACCAAGGCAACGAUGCGUAGCCGACCUGAUGGGGUGAUCGGCCACACUAGAACUGAGCCACGCUCCAGACUCCUACGGGAGGCAGCAGUAGGGAAUCUUCCGCAAUGGGCGAAAGCCUGACGGAGCAACGCCGCGUGAGUGAUGAAGGUCUUCGGAUCGUAAAGCUCUGUUAUUAGGUAAGAACAAAUGUGUAAGUAACUAUGCACGUCUUGACGGUACCUAAUCAGAAAGCCCCGGCUAACUACGUG